rnacentral:rRNA from 1 species
AUUGAACGCUGGCGGCAGGCCUAACACAUGCAAGUCGAACGGUAACAGGAAGAAGCUUGCUUAUUUGCUGACGAGUGGCGGACGGGUGAGUAAUGUCUGGGAAACUGCCUGAUGGAGGGGGAUAACUACUGGAAACGGUAGCUAAUACCGCAUAACGUCGCAAGACCAAAGAGGGGGACCUUCGGGCCUCUUGGCAUCGGAUGUGCCCAGAUGGGAUUAGCGAGUAGGUGGGGUAACGGCUCACCUAGGCGACGAUCCCUAGCUGGUCUGAGAGGAUGACCCGCCCCACUGGAACUGAGCCACGGUCCAGACUCCUACGGGCGGCAGCGGUGGGGAAUAUUGCACAAUGGGCGCAAUCCUGCUGCAGCCAUGCCGCCUGUAUGAAGAAGGCCUUCGGGUUGUAAAGUACUUUCCGCGGUGAGGAAGGGAGUAAAGUUAAUACCUUUGCUCAUUGACGUUACCCGCAGAAGAAGCACCAGCUAACUCCGUG